rnacentral:rRNA from 1 species
GACGAACGCUGGCGGCGUGCCUAAUACAUGCAAGUUGAGCGAUGAAGAUUGGUGCUUGCACCAAUUUGAAGAGCAGCGAACGGGUGAGUAACGCGUGGGGAAUCUGCCUUUGAGCGGGGGACAACAUUUGGAAACGAAUGCUAAUACCGCAUAACAACUUUAAACAUAAGUUUUAAGUUUGAAAGAUGCAAUUGCAUCCCUCAAAGAUGAUCCCGCGUUGUAUUAGCUAGUUGGUGAGGUAAAGGCUCACCAAGGCGAUGAUACAUAGCCGACCUGAGAGGGUGAUCGGGCACAUUGGGACUGAGACACGGCCCAAACUCCUACGGGAGGCAGCAGUAGGGAAUCUUCGGCAAUGGACGAAAGUCUGACCGAGCAACGCCGCGUGAGUGAAGAAGGUUUUCGGAUCGUAAAACUCUGUUGGUAGAGAAGAACGUUGGUGAGAGUGGAAAGCUCAUCAAGUGACGGUAACUACCCAGAAAGGGACGGCUAACUACGUG